rnacentral:rRNA from 1 species
AUGGGAGAGUCUUCACAUAGUUGCAUAAUUAUUCGACUACUCAUUGAUCUUCACUUAUAUCUUAUUGGAGUAGUUUGUCGUUUGCUCAUAGUGCUUCACUUAUAUCUUUUGAGCGUGAUAAUUUUUGCUCUAGUACUUCACUUAUAUAUUUUGAGAGCACGGUGGUGGAUUUGUUUUAAAGAAACUAUUGAACUCUCAUGCUUCGCUUAUAUUAUUUUGAGAGUCGUUAAUAGCAUGGUAAUUUGGUUAAUGUUAAUAUACUUGGUAUAUUCAAGAUAUGUGAAACUUUCUUUUGAGUGCGUUGAAUACUAA